rnacentral:rRNA from 1 species
UACGGAGGGAGCUAGCGUUGUUCGGAAUUACUGGGCGUAAAGCGCACGUAGGCGGCUUUUUAAGUCAGGGGUGAAAUCCCGGAGCUCCACUCCGGAACUGCCCUUGAAACUGGGAAGCUAGAAUCUUGGAGAGGCGAGUGGAAUUCCGAGUGUAGAGGUGAAAUUCGUAGAUAUUCGGAAGAACACCAGUGGCGAAGGCGACUCGCUGGACAAGUAUUGACGCUGAGGUGCGAAAGCGUGGGGAGCAAACAGG